AUCUGUAGCCAAGUGGUCGAAGGCAUCGGACUCAUAAUCCG
rnacentral:tRNA from 1 species